UACGUAGGGAGCGCGCGUUGUCCGGAUUCAUUGGGCGUAAAGAGCUCGUAGGCGGCUUGGCAAGUCGGGUGUGAAAACUCCAGGCUCAACCUGGAGACGCCACCCGAUACUGCCAUGGCUAGAGUCCGGUAGGGGACCACGGAAUUCCUGGUGUAGCGGUGAAAUGCGCAGAUAUCAGGAGGAACACCGGUGGCGAAGGCGGUGGUCUGGGCCGGAACUGACGCUGAGGAGCGAAAGCGUGGGGAGCGAACAGG
rnacentral:rRNA from 1 species